UGUUGAUGGCUGGACAUUGCAUCAUCCUAGAAAACUUGGAGGCCAGUGAGGACAAAAAUAAAAAGUUAUAAGACUUUUAAAAAUGUGGAUUUUUGGGUUAUCUUUGGCGCCCCCUAGAACGUAAACCGUGGGGUGCAGCGUCAUGAUUUGAAUAACUUUUAAUGGCCAUGGGGUGUAAUUUGGCCUGAGCAAAUGUGGUGCUGGUGGAACGAAAGCCUUCGGAGGAGUUAGCGAAAUUCCAAUGUGUGCGAAUCGGCAAAAAAUGCGGAAUAACCCUUUAACCGUACAUUAGACAGAUACGCGCGCAUGGACUUU